CCUACGGGAGGCUGCAGUGAGGAAUAUUGGUCAAUGGACGAGAGUCUGAACCAGCCAAGUAGCGUGAAGGAUGACUGCCCUAUGGGUUGUAAACUUCUUUUAUAAAGGAAUAAAACGAGGCACGUGUGCCUUUUUGCAUGUACUUUAUGAAUAAGGAUAGGCUAACUCCGUGCCAGCAGCCGCGGUAAUACGGAGGAUCCGAGCGUUAUCCGGAUUUAUUGGGUUUAAAGGGAGCGUAGAUGGGUUGUUAAGUAAGUUGUGAAAGUUUGCGGCUCAACCGUAAAAUUGCAAUUGAUACUGGCAGUCGUGAGUACAGUUGAGGUAGGCGGAAUUCGUGGUGUAGCGGUGAAAUGCUUAGAUAUCACGAAGAACCCCGAUUGCGAAGGCAGCUUACUAAACUGUGACUGACAUUGAUGCUCGAAAGUGUGGGUAUCAAACAGGAUUAGAUACCCCUGUAGUC
rnacentral:rRNA from 1 species